CCUACGGGGGGCUGCAGUGGGGAAUAUUGGACAAUGGGGGCAACCCUGAUCCAGCCAUGCCGCGUGUGUGAAGAAGGCCCUCGGGUUGUAAAGCACUUUCAGUGAGGAAGAACGCCUGGUGGUUAAUACCCAUCAGGAAAGACAUCACUCACAGAAGAAGCACCGGCUAACUCCGUGCCAGCAGCCGCGGUAAUACGGAGGGUGCGAGCGUUAAUCGGAAUUACUGGGCGUAAAGCGCGCGUAGGUGGCUUGAUAAGCCGGUUGUGAAAGCCCCGGGCUCAACCUGGGAACGGCAUCCGGAACUGUCAAGCUAGAGUGCAGGAGAGGAAGGUAGAAUUCCCGGUGUAGCGGUUAAAUGCGUAGAGAUCGGGAGGAAUACCAGUGGCGAAGGCGGCCUUCUGGACUGACACUGACACUGAGGUGCGAAAGCGUGGGUAGCAAACAGGAUUAGAUACCCUUGUAGUC
rnacentral:rRNA from 1 species